rnacentral:rRNA from 1 species
UACGGGAGGUGCAAGCGUUAUCCGGAUUUACUGGGGUUUAAAGGGUAGCGUAGGCGGGCAGGUAAGUCAGUGGUGAAAUCUUCGAGCUUAACUCGGAAACUGCCUUUGAUACUAUCUGUCUUGAAUAUUGUGGAGGUAAGCGGAAUAUGUCAUGUAGCGGUGAAAUGCUUAGAUAUGACAUAGAACACCUAUUGCGAAGGCAGCUUACUACGCAUAUAUUGACGCUGAGGCAGCGAAAGCGUGGGGAUCAAACGGG